GAAAACCCAAAAACUCCAGAAAUCUGUAUAAAGAUUCCUUCGAAUCUUUGAACCAAAAGCACCUGCAGGGUGACUUGUCAUCAAAAGGAGGUUUGUGCAGUCGAAACGCACUGCCAUGCGGGGCUGGAUUUACAGGGCCGUCCUCGGACCCAUUGGCAGGAACCAGCACAAGGAAUGGCCCGCUUCCAACCCAAGCCAGCAUUCCACUUUCCCACCAGCUCUGAAUUCACCUCUCCUAGAUGCACUCACGUCACCGCAUGGCCUGUGGAGACAUCCUCUCUCCUGUCCUCUGAUUGCUGCACCAGGCACUGGACAUAUAAGAAGCAAAAGAGGCCAAGAUGGGGCGGAGGUCUCAGGAGAGAGACGAGUUAACCACAUGGAGCUGCCUGGUGAUCUUUGGUGAGGAGUCAUUCCUCCUACUGCAUCUGGAUGCCUCUCGUCCGUCUCCCGCCGCACACCGGACUUAACCUCUCCACAGCACCUGCCGCCCGGUACUAAGAUUGUCGACCUCUGUCAAUCCUCGUGACGGGACUGUAAGCUCCUUGCAUUCAGGCAUCGUGUUUUUCUCAUCCUUAACAACUCCAGCGCUCAGGAGAGGUGCUCACAGUGCACAGAACAUGCUCAGUGAAAGAUUCCUGAGUGCAUAAGUAACUUCAGCCUUGGAAAAAAUUCUUUAAUUUAAAUUCAGCAGCAGACUUUCUUGAACUCAAAAAGAACAAAACAAAACAAAAAACUAGGGACAAAAGGCUUUGAACUUCUUGCCCAUGUUUCUCUCCUCAAGGAGCAUAUAUUGUCAAAGCCUGCAUUCCAACUUCUGGGGUUUACUAGAAUCUUGGACUGGGAAGCUCCUGGUCUGUUAAUGAUCCACUGUAUUCCCCAGUGGGAUGUAUGCAGCCCAACCCCCUGACAUCCCGGUUGGGGGCCAUGCUGAUGUUGCCAAGAUACUGAUGCCACAGACAGACAUACCCUGACACAGAGACACCUUUUUCCCGGUUGUAAUUAACAAGAUAUUGAUGGCCUCCCCUUAGACAGCCAUCUAAAUACAAAUAAAGCAGGAUGAGCUAAGAGGAUAAAGUGCAAAAACCAGCUUCUUUGUGUAACAGUUCCAUAAUAUUAUCUGGGAGCCAGCCCAACGUUCUGGAAAUCACUCAGAAGAAUCAGGCAGUCCUUUCCUUCCGAGGGCACUUUUAUGCUUGCAAAACCAUCAUCGUCAUCAGCUUCGAUUAAUAUUGACUGAUGUAUAAUCACCAUUCAUUUUAUUAACUCUUGCCCAGGACUACUUAUAAACAUCAGGACUGCUAUUGUACAACUGGGGAAGCAGAGGCAUAGAGGGCUUUGGUAACUGGCUUAAGGCCACAGUUUAAAUUGGGUGUUGGGCUGAGACCAGGAGGCCCAGAUCUUUCAUACCCAGUUCCCCUGCUGAGAAGGGCUGUUGCUUUGGGGUUAGCUGGGGGAAGGGAGUGGAUCUGCCUCACCUUUGUUCGCCCAGCAGACAAAGUGAGCCACCUGGUCACUCUCCCAGACACUGGGCAAGAAGCAAGCUUUUGAAGAGGGAGCCAGCUCACUUUUCUGACACAUGUCACAUCUCGCACCGAAGGGAGAGACCCACUGCCGCCUGGAUUGUCCACUGGGGCAUGUCACAAUCUAGAUGGCAUAUGAAAGACAAAAAGCUCCCUUGUCAUCUGCCUUUCACUCUACAGAGAGACAGCCCCGAAAGUGUGAGACGCGGCAUCACAUAUUAAUGAGGGGGAGCAUAUGUAGCAUUUUGAAGCCAGGGGCCGGGUGUGGCUGUGAAGACAGUAGCUAAAAAGGAGGUUUGGGCAAGAUUUGAGAGGCAGGUUCUAGGCUCAGACCCUGAAAAUGAAUCAGUAAGAUCAUCUCGCCUCCCUCCAGCCAGCCCUCCUGGUCACCCCCGCCCCCUGCCUUGGUGCUGCCACAUGCAGUUUCCUGGGCCGGAGCUCCCCUGUUCCGUAGCCCCUGGGACUGGCGGGGCAGGGAGGUGUGC
rnacentral:lncRNA from 1 species